UACGUAGGGUGCAAGCGUUGUCCGGAAUUAUUGGGCGUAAAGAGCUCGUAGGCGGUCUGUCACGUCGGAUGUGAAAACUCGGAGCUCAACUCCGAGCCUGCAUUCGAUACGGGCAGACUAGAGUUCGGUAGGGGAGGCUGGAAUUCCUGGUGUAGCGGUGAAAUGUGCAGAUAUCAGGAGGAACACCGAUGGCGAAGGCAGGUCUCUGGGCCGAUACUGACGCUGAGGAGCGAAAGCGUGGGGAGCGAACAGG
rnacentral:rRNA from 1 species